GGGUCUCCUGCCUAGCUGCACCUGGACCCUGUUCCGGACCGAUUAUACCGGUGGUGGAUGAGAUUCCUUUCCUGAACACAGUCUGCUCUAAAACACACCAGGAAAUCAGUGGGGGAAGGAGGACAGCGACAGAGGACAGUUUGUGCUCAUCUAAUUGGGUUCCACUUGAUAUCAAUCGAGCGUGACCUGAAGACAUGGACUCUAAGGUCCUUUGGAGGGGGCCAAGAGAGAAGCAAAUAGAUAAAUAAGAGACGUUACCUUUCACCUUCAACACAGACGUUACCUCGAUGGAGACGUGAGAUGUUAAUGCGAUCGCUGGUCAUCGUUAACCAGCCGCAUAAUGAACCUUGCAUAUAUUUGCAUACAGUAUCAUUCACAGAGUGUUGUAACCGCAACAAGGAGCUGUUUGCUGACUCUGAAAUUCACCUCAUGGGAGAUAUUUUUCGAGACUGAUUUUUAAAAUAAUCUUAUUACUCCAAUUGUUUGUUUUGUUUCAUCAUUAACCCGGUGAAUAAUGAACAUUGCAUACAUUUACAUACCAUUUAUCAAUCAAACCCUUUUCUAACUGCACGAGGGAGUUAUUUUUCCAGUCUGGAAAUCACCUCAUAUAGACAUUUAUAUAUUUUUGCCUUUCAGGUGAAUUAGCCCUUUGCAUCCUUUUUUAUAAUACAUCUUAUUCUUUUGUCCAUUUAUCAAAGCUCGGGUAUGCAACUUUGGAAAAACCAGCAAGAGUAAACUAGAUUUUGAAAGUAUCCGACCGAAAAAAAUCCCAGUCACUCCCUUCAGGCCUCCCUCCAAAGCCGUUCCCCCAAAACACAUGAGCAUGUACU